GGAAGACUUAAGAUGGCGGCGUUUGCACGGAGUGCAAUCACUGCGUCCUUACGGGGGUUGCAAGGCGUCCGAAUCUCUUCAAAAUAUCGGAGAAUAAUUUCUUUCUCGCUGAUCGCCUAACUUCUACUGACGAAGCUUGGAAGUUGCAGAAGAUGGAGUUCGCUCUUGUUGCCCAGGCUGGAAUGCAAUGGCAUGACCUUGGCUCACUGCAACCUCUGCCUCCCCAGUUCAAGUGGUUCUCCUGCCUCAGCCUCCCGAGUAGCUGAGAUUACAGGUACUGGCUCCUGUAUCACCCAGCUCUGGAGUUGAAAGAGCUCUUCAUUCCUGAGUCUCCUGUACCACUGAGAAUAGGCUGGAGUGCAGUGGCGCAAUCUCGGCUCUCUGCAACCUUCACCUCCCGUGUUCAAGUGAUUCUCCUGCCUCAGCCUCCUGAAUACCUGAGAUUACAAGCAUGCACCACCACGCCCGUCUAAUUUUGUAUUUUCACUAGAGACGGGGUUUCUCCAUGUUGGUCAGGCUGGUCUCGAACUCCCGACCUCAGGUGAUCCGCCCGCCUCAGCCUCCCAAAGUGCUGGGAUUACAGGCAUGAGCCACCGCGUCCAGCAAGAAUAGGUGAUUUUCAAACUUGGAAACAUUCAGAAGUUAUCGCCUCAGUUUCAGAUUGAGUAGUCUCAAAGAGAUUACAGACAUCUACCACAAAUUCUCUACUUGGUGUGGUGCAAAAUCAGUAUGAUGUAAACUUUGUCUCUCAGUUUCUUCAAAGGAA
rnacentral:lncRNA from 1 species